rnacentral:rRNA from 1 species
GACGAACGCUGGCGGCGUGCCUAAUACAUGCAAGUUGAGCGCUGAAGGUUGGUACUUGUACCAACUGGAUGAGCCGAGAACGGGUGAGUAACGCGUGUGGCAUCUGCCUUUGAGCGGGAUACCACCUUUGGAAUCGAGUGCUUAUACCGCAUAAAAACUUUCUACACAAGGUUUAAGUGUGAAAGAUGCCAUUGCAUCACUCAAUGAUGAUCCCGCGUUGUAUUAGCUAGUUGGUGAGGUAAAGGCUCAUCAAGGCGAUGAUACAUAGCCGACCUGAGCGGGUGGUCGGCCACACUGGGACGGUGACCCGCCCCAAAGUCCUACGGGUGGCAGCAGUAGGGAUUCGUCGGCAAUGGACGGAAGUCUGUCCGAGCAACGCCGCGGGAGUGAAGAGGGUCUCCGGAUCGUAAAUCUCGGUUGGUAGAUAAGAACGUUGGUGAGAGUGGAAAGCUCAGCAAGUGACGGUAACUAGCCAGAAAGGGACGGCUAACUACGUG